rnacentral:rRNA from 1 species
UACGAAGGUCCCGAGCGUUGUUCGGAAUCACUGGGCGUAAAGGGAGCGUAGGCGGCGUGGUAAGUCAGAUGUGAAAUCCCGGGGCUCAACCCCCGGAACUGCAUCCGAUACUGCCGUGCUUGAGGGUUGGAGAGGUAGCUGGAAUUAUCGGUGUAGCAGUGAAAUGCGUGGAUAUCGAUAGGAACACUCGUGGCGAAGGCGAGCUACUGGACAACAUCUGACGCUGAGGCUCGAAGGCUAGGGGAGCAAAAGGG